UGGUUGAUCCUGCAGUAGUCAUAUGCUUUGUCUCAAAAGAUUAAGACCAUGGCAUUGGUUGUAAGUAUGAAACUAAUUCAGAUGUGAAACUGCGAAUGGCGCAUUAAAUCAGUGUAUAGUUUGUUUGAUGGUACCUGGCUACUCGGAUAACCGUAGUAAUCUAGAGCUAAGACGUGCCAACCAAACCCCACUUCCUGGAAGGAUGCAUUUAUUUUAGAUAAAAGCGUCAACCGGGCUCUGCCCGUUGCCUCUGAUGAUUCCAUGAUAAACUCAUUCGCCACGUGCCUUUUGCGCCGCCGACGCAUCAUUCAAAUUUCUGCCCUAUCAAUCUUUUCGAUGGUAGGAGAGUGGCCUACCAGUUUGGUUGACGGGUGACGGACGAAUUAUGGGUUCGAUUCCGGGAGAGGAGCCAUGAAAACGGCUACCAAAUCCAAGGAAGGCAGCAGGCGCGCAAAUUUACCCAAUCCUGACCACGGGGAGGUAUGACAAUAAAUACAAUACCGGGCUCUUUGAGUCUGGUUAAUUGGAAUGAGUACAAUCUAAACCCUUAACGAGGAUCCAUUGGAGGGCAAGUCUGGUCGCCAGCAGCCGCAGGUAAUUCCAGGCUCCAAUAGCGUAUAUUUAAGUUGUUGCUUUUUUUUUUACAGUUAAAAAGCUCGUAGUUGGACCUUGGGUUUGGUACGACGGUCCGCCUUUGGUUGUGCACCGGCCGUCUCGCCUCUUCGCCGGGCGAUGCGCUCCUGGCCUUAACUGGCCGGGGUCUGCUCCGGCGACUGUUUACUUUGAAGAAAUUAGAGUGCUCAAAGCAAGCUACGCUGCUUAUUACAUUAGGCAUGGAUAAACUAUAUAGGAUCCGGUCCUAUUGUUGGCCUUCGCGGGCAUCGGAGUAAUGAUUAACGGACAGUCAGGGAGGCAUUCGUUGAUUUGGCAUAGUCAGAGGUGAAAAGUCUUGGAUUUAUGAAAGACGAACAAGCUGCGAAAGCAAUUUGCCAAGGAUGUUGUCAUAAUCAAAGAACGAAAGUUGGGGGUCUCGAAGACGAUCAGAUACCUCCUAGGUCUCAACCAUAACGAUGCCGACCAGGGAUCGGCGGAUGUUAACUUUUAGGACGCCAGCCGGCAACCUUAUUGAGAAAUCAAAGUUUUUGGGUUCGGGGGAGUAUGGUCGAAGGCUGAAACUUAAAGAAUUGACGGCCAAGGCACACAGGAGUGAGCCUUGCGGCUUAAGUUGACUCAACACGGGGAAACUUACCAGGUCCAGACAUGUAAGAUUGACAGACUGAGAGCUCUUUCUUGAUUCUAUGGGUGUGGUGCAUGGCCGUUCUUUAGUUGGUGGAGCGAUUUGUCUGGUUAUUCCAGUUUAACGAACGAGACCUCAGCCUUGCUAACUAGGCUAUGCGGAGUUUACCUUCGCAGCUAGCCUUCUUAGCAGGACUAUGGCCUUUAGGCCACGGAAGUUGAGGCAAUAACAGCGUCUGUGAUGCCCUUAGAUGUUCUGGGCGACGCGCGCUACACUGAUGUAUUCAACGAGUCUAUAGGCCUUUGACCGACAGGUCGGGUAAUCUUUUGAAAAUUUAUCGUGAUGGGGAUGAUCAUUGCAAUUUGUUUGGUUUCUUCAAACGCAGGAAUUCCUUUUAGGUAAGGCGCGGAGUCACAGGCUCGCGGUGGACUUUUACGGUCCCUUGCCCUUUUAACACACCGGCCCGGCCCGGCUCGGACGGCCCGGAACCCCAAAGGACUCAAUUACCAAGAUGCAAAACUCUCUAAUGAUCUAACUCUCAAAAGUAAUG
rnacentral:rRNA from 1 species